rnacentral:lncRNA from 1 species
UUUCAGAUACAGCGGGGAUGAACUUCUCGUUCCACAGUAAUCUUUCCUGACAAUACCGGAAAGUGUAACUUGAUGAUGUCUGGACAGUACUUACAUAAA